rnacentral:rRNA from 1 species
UACGUAGGGGGCAAGCGUUGUCCGGAAUUACUGGGCGUAAAGAGCUCGUAGGUGGUUUGUCGCGUUGUUCGUGAAAACCGGGGGCUUAACCUUCGGCGUGCGGGCGAUACGGGCAGACUGGAGUACUGCAGGGGAGACUGGAAUUCCUGGUGUAGCGGUGGAAUGCGCAGAUAUCAGGAGGAACACCGGUGGCGAAGGCGGGUCUCUGGGCAGUAACUGACGCUGAGGAGCGAAAGCGUGGGGAGCGAACAGG